GCUCCGAUAGUGUAGUGGCCAAUCAUUCAGGACUCUCACUCCUGUAACUCGGGUUCGAAUCCCGGUCGGAGCA
rnacentral:tRNA from 1 species